CCAGAAUUCCACCCUUGUCUCAUUCCGAGAUUGUGUGCUGAGGGUUUUCAACUGCAUCUCUAAAGGGAAGGCCAAAGAAAGAGCAACAGGAAAGGAUGGUAAAAAGGGGGUAGAAAGGAAGAAGGAAGGGAAGAAAAAAGGGAAAACAGCAAGCUCUCUUUCCAGAGCCACACAUUUUUUUCUGUUUGCUCAGUGGCAGUCUGUUAAAGAAAUACUUCAUUGUCACUGAACACAGAGUCAUUAAAGGCACCUUGGAAAUUUGGACCCUUUUACUAGAAUCAGGGCUUAAAUAGCAACUUAAUUUAUGACACUUCUCGAGGCUGAUGGCGUUUUUGCUCUAAGCAGACCUGCCUUGCAAGAAAUGUUAAAAGAAGUGCUUUAGAGAGCAGGGAAAUUCUAUAGGUCAGACACUUGGAUCUACAUAAAAAAAGGAAGAAACCAAAGGAGAAAUAAGUGAAGGCAUGGAAACCUUGUUCCACACAUUGCCUGGUGCCCUGUCCAGCGCUGCAAGGUGCACUGCGUCUCCUCUGCCCAGCAAGCCACAAGCCCCUCCAGGGUGAGAGGAGAGCCUUCCCUUCCCUUGGUCCUCCCUUCGACACAGGGAGCUGGAGCUGGACAGCCCCAUAGGCACUCAGGGCUUGAAGAAGAUAUCUAGAAAUGUCAAAGCAGAAGAGCCUCGGAGAUAAUCUGAACUAUUUCUGAGUUUAUAUAAGGGAAAACUGAGACUGGAGAGAACUAACAUGUCUAAUAUUACAAUGGAAACUUGUAAUAAAACCACAAAUUGAGUCAAGUCUCCUGAUUCACUAUAUGAGCUUCUUUUGACUCUAAGAAACUGUCCUUCACAAAGUUCCCAAGAAAGAAUGGAUUGGCCAGAUCGAUAGAGGAAUUUCUGAGGAAACUGCACUUGUGUUU
rnacentral:lncRNA from 10 species